rnacentral:rRNA from 1 species
CGGCGGACGGGUGAGUAACACGUAGGCAACCUGCCCAUGAGUCUGGGAUAACUACCGGAAACGGUAGCUAAUACCGGAUACAUCCUUUCCCUGCAUGGGGAGGGGAGGAAAGACGGAGCAAUCUGUCACUUGUGGAUGGGCCUGCGGCGCAUUAGCUAGUUGGUGGGGUAAUGGCCUACCAAGGCGACGAUGCGUAGCCGACCUGAGAGGGUGAUCGGCCACACUGGGACUGAGACACGGCCCAGACUCCUACGGGAGGCAGCAGUAGGGAAUCUUCCGCAAUGGGCGAAAGCCUGACGGAGCAACGCCGCGUGAGUGAUGAAGGUUUUCGGAUCGUAAAGCUCUGUUGCCAGGGAAGAACGUCUUGUAGAGUAACUGCUACAAGAGUGACGGUACCUGAGAAGAAAGCCCCGGCUAACUACGUGCCAGCAGCCGCGGUAAUACGUAGGGGGCAAGCGUUGUCCGGAAUUAUUGG